CCAUUGUAUCCACCCUGCCCGAGAUCAUUUGUGGCUGGCCCUGAUUGGCCCUAGUCUUUUCUUGUCUCCACCUCUUCACUCCCCCCCCCCCACACCCCCUACAUUCAGUCUGAAGGAGGGCCCCGACCCGAAACAUCACCCUUCCUAUUUCUCCAGAAAUGCUGCCUGACCUGCUAAGUUACUCCAACACUUUGUGUCUAUCUUUGGCUGGGUCAUUCCGUUUUAGUCACCUUGAAACUUCAUCAUUAAGUAUUUGUUUGCAUUUUGGCAACAUGUGGAGGUUGGUUCAAAGGUAGCACCGUGGGAUUAUGUUUUCUAAAUCUACAUUUUUGA